rnacentral:rRNA from 1 species
AUUGAACGCUGGCGGCAGGCCUAACACAUGCAAGUCGAGCGGGGUUUUCGGACCUAGCGGCGGACGGGUGAGUAAUGCGUAGGAAGCUACCCGAUAGAGGGGGAUACCAGUUGGAAACGACUGUUAAUACCGCAUAAUGUCUACGGACCAAAGUGUGGGACCUUCGGGCCACAUGCUAUCGGAUGCGCCUACGUGGGAUUAGCUAGUUGGUGGGGUAAUGGCUCACCAAGGCGACGAUCCCUAGCUGGUUUGAGAGGAUGAUCAGACACACUGGAACUGAGACACGGUCCAGACUCCUACGGGAGGCAGCAGUGGGGAAU